UCCGUGCUUGGUCUUCCCAUGGAUUUAUUUGCCUGCGCAUCUUUGCCAAACCAGUAGGGUAAAUCUGAAUGGAGCUGGAGACCAGGUUUCUCUGCCCACAAUCUCUCCAGAGAGCUAAAAGGUACAGAACUCCGAGAUAAUGAUCUGCUGAUUUAGCAAGGAGACCAUGAUGGGAACAAACCAGGAAUUGAAUGGGCAAGCUGAGGAUCCCCCUGGACAAGGCAUGAUAAAGUGAAAAAUGUGGAUCAUGGAAAAGACAUUUGGUGGAAUCUGAAUGAAUCAUCCUGCAAUAAAUGUAACACUUCUGGGUAAACUGUGCCUCUGACAUGCUGGGCUGUAGGCUAAUGUUGGGGAGACAUGUGUCCCUGUGUGACUAAGCCCUUUAUUUUAAUAUAUGUAGUCUCUUGCUGCAAAAUUGGAAAAGCUCAAGUCUGUUCUCCUGCUGCUGAUAAAAGGACAUUUGCCCAUGUCCCGUUUACCAAAAGGUGCCCAGCACCAGCAAAGCCAAGAUAAAUAAAACC